rnacentral:snoRNA from 1 species
AAUGCAAGAUGCAGCUGUGAUGAGCCGUAACACAUAAGGAGGCCAACCGAUCAAUUGGUUCUUCAAUGAAAUACUCUUGUUACGCUUGGCUUCUGAGCAUU